GCACCAAAAAAAAAAAAAAAAAAAGGCUUUUUGAAAUGUUUCAAGUUUGGUUUCUGUCAUUUACAUCACCUAACUAACUAACUGCCUGUGAUCAAAAUUAUUUGAAUUUUAUAUUUGAAUAAUUCGGAAAAUAUGCCUUCAUGCUUUCAUGCCAGGGGUUAGAUGAGAGGAUCAGUAUCCCCCUCAUGUUUGUACAUUAAGUGUAAAGUUACUUCUAGCCGCCAGGAUUGAGCGAUUCAGUCUAAGUCCUGCAAGCCUUUGUAACUGUUGCAAGGUUGGACAAGCUUGACUGUAACUCGGGAAAUUCCACUGGUGGUGUGACGGGGUUAGUUUUUUAAGUUUGCAUGUUUUGUCACUUUGUUCCUUUUAAUUGUGAUUUAAUGUUAUAUCACAUAUUGUGUUUUGACAGAGUUUUUUUUUGAUUUGCAUGUAGUUUUUUUACGGACUGACCCUGAACUAUGCACCGACCCGCCCAGCAGACUAAUCAGUGUAAGGAGCCACAGGUGGUGGCUGGUGCAGGUGUGAUGCUUUUUAUCUCAGAGCGGCAGUGAAGCACAGGAUAGAGAUGGGGAGAGGCGGAGAGGAGAGGAGGCCAGGACGGCAGGCAUCAGGAACGGUGGGCGCCGGGAACGCCGGGUGCCGUGAUACCGAGGACGUCAACGCCAGGACGGCGGACGCUUGGAAUGCCGGGGCGGGCGUCAUGAUACAGAGGAUGCCAGAACUCCAGGACGGCGGGCACUGGGAACGGGGCCAGCUGACACCGUCCGUCCGGGUACCGAGCAUGCUCGACUGUUGGAGUACAGUGUGAAAAUGGGCGGGACUUAAGAAGGGCCAGUUGUGUGUUAACCAAUGAAAGGCUCUGACACUUCAGAAUCAUGCAGAUGGUACAGCACCUUGUAACAGGUUGAAUGGUCUCUCUGUCACUUGUUUCUGCUCCAUGAUACGUCAAUGGGAGGGGAGGCACCAACUAUCAGUGAUUUUUGGUGAAACUGGAUCACGUCCUCCGGUUUUCCCUCUAGCUGCUCUGUGAGUUUCCUGAAAGCGACCUGCGUCUGCACGCAGCAGUCCGACUGUAGCUACAAGCGAGCCGACUGCUCAGCGCCCCGACCAGCAUUGGUGCUUACAGCGCCAUCGCAGCAGCUUCGAACCACGGGGGGAAGGAAAAAAGGCGAUCAGGUCCGGGGCUGGGAUGGGCAGAGGAACCGGGCUCAGCGGCCUCACAGACAAAAGGUGAAGGUGAAGACGCUGAAGAGGAUGCUGAUGAUGAGAAAGAGAGACAAGAAACAAGAGAAAAUCUCAGACUGGCUGUUUUGACUGUCAUGGGAUAAAAGGCUUGGCUUGGUUGUUGGCUGUUAGCAAAGUUUUCAACAAAGUAGGUGUUGAUCUCAGUGUAAUUUUAACAUAUUUUGGACCCAUGAGAUGUUGCACACAGUUUGGCCACAAUGUCAAAUUGCCCUUUAAAGCCUGGCGCUGUCUGUGGUUCGACGGUGAAACAAAAGCAAAAAAUAAAUAAUUCCAUCCUCUUA